GUCUUGCGGAGUAUCCUUCCCAAGUUGCAGUAACCAGCGUGGAUGUGAAGGGACACGACAGUUCCUCUGCUGUACCAUGGGCGACCUACUUGUGAGGUGGACCUGAACCUCCGCCAUGUAGCAGACACCCCCCUCAGGUUUUGCGGAGUAUCCUUUCCAAGUUGCAGAAACCAGCGUGGAUGUGAAGGGACACGACAGUUCCCCUGCUGUUCCAUGGGCGACCUACUUGUGAUGUGGACCUGAACCUCCGCCAUGUAGCAGACACACCCCCUCAGGUCUUGCGGAAUAUCCUUCCCAAGUUGCAGUAACCAGCGUGGAUGUGAAGGGACACGACAGUUCCCCUGCUGUACCAUGGGCGACCUACUUGUGAUGUUGGCCUGAACCUCCGGCAUGUAGCAGACACCCCCCCUCAGGUCUUGCGGAGCAUCCUUCCCAAGUUGCAGUAACCAGCGUGGAUGUGAAGGGACACGACAGUUCCCCUGCUGUUCCAUGGGCGACCUACUUGUGAUGUGGACCUGAACCUCCGCCAUGUAGCAGACACCCCCC